AUAUAUAUAUAUAUAUAUAUAUAUUGGUGACUUGAUGUUCACAACUGGUGUUUUUGUCAGCUUUCUUUCCAGUUUUUACUCCUUCACUUCUUUCUAAAAGAAUCCCCACUGUGGAUCACACUCUUACCUCCAGUCCUGUUUCACCUCACAAGCACACUUCCCAAUGGCUUGCCAUCAAUUGGUUUUGAGUGGGUAUGUGCCCUUAUUUUUGGCAAGACACUAACUAUGGAGAGAAGUCUUCUGGGAGGUUCAUAUGAAAAAGUUCAUUUCUUUCAUGACACAGACUAUUGUUCUGCUGGAAGUUGUGGCUUGAACAAAGGCAGUUUUCUUGUGACCUUGAGAGGAGCAAGACUGAGGCAGCAGUUAGGAUCAGUGGAAAGCUUGUAUGUAUGUAUGUAUGUAUGUAUGUAUGUAUGUAUGUAUGUAUGUAUAUGUUCGUGUAUAUAUGCAUAUGUGUGUAUGUGUGUUUCUGUAUCUACAACACAUGCAUAUAAGCCUCAUGAUGGUGCUGGGUGGCUGAAGAGUCCAGCUUCUAAAUACCCUCCCUCUGAAUUUCUCUUCCUUUGCUCUAUAAACAGCUCUAUUGAUGACUUCGUUUGAGUUGGGGUCUUUUAUAGUUGACAGUCAGCAUUGUCCUAGCUGAUUGGUUGCCCAUUCACACUAACACUUAAUGCUGACAUUGCUGUGGCACUGAACGAAUGUGACAAUGCGGUACUGAGAUGGUGCUGGUGUCAUGUGUGCAGAAACCGUCACAAAGAGCUGAACAGAUUGUCAAAAGGGAUUAAACACAUCCUAGUCUUAGGCACCAUGCUAGGUUCUUUGAGUUGAAAACCCAACUGCUGUUCUCGGGGAGUCUGAGAUGGAAUGUGUUCAUGAAUCCAAGCAUAUGGCACAGCAAUGAAGUAUACAAACAUUGCUCCAAGUCAUCAUUUUCCCCUCAGAAGAACCUCUUGAUGCUUUGGGUAACAAGUUAUUUAUUUGUGUACUUGAGUAUUGAGUACUUGUUUGCAUAUAUAUAUAUAUAUGUAUAUAUAUAUAUACAUAUAUAUAUAUAUAUCCACUUAAAAUAAUAAUGACUGUUUUAGAUUACUAUACCUUGGCUCGAUCAGGACCUGCCAAAUGGAUUAUUAUUUUGCAUAAAGCAACUAUUAUGUUAAGCAGCAUGGUAGUGGCUUUGGGGAAUAUGAAAUUUUAAAAGUCAAACCUUGUUUUCAAAAGGACUAUGGCUUAAGAGGAAGGAUGAGUAGUUAUCAUCUAAAUGCAUGUAUGCUACAUCAGUAACACAGAUGCUAAACUUGCGUGCAGUUGACCAAGGGGCAGAUCACUUCUGCUCAGGGUUAUGAGACACGGUCCCAUAAGAGACAUGGGAAUAAAGCUGCACUUUUUGUAAACAGGGGUCAGAGCAGGGUGUGAAUCCCAUAGGGUGGUAGAAGUUCCCUUUAGGAUCUGUUGACUGAUGGGCUAGACCAGUUGAUGACAGAAAUGAGACUCCAGAAUGUCUUGACAUGAUGCAAGGAUAAAUUGUAGGUAAGGAUGAAAAUGAAUCAGCCUCAAUGUACCAUUUUGUAUUUGCUUAGUAAAGGGGAAAUGCAUACAAUCACAGUUAUUGGUGUGGAAAAGACAUUGUGUUUUGGUGAGUGUAGCCUGAAUCGAUCUGCAAUCCAGAUGCCCAGUAAGCCAAGGCAAACCCAUUCUGCCCAAAAAAACCAAAAAACCAAAAGCAAAACAAAACAAAACAAAAAACCAUGGUGCCUUGUAUUUCUGUUCAUCAGCAAUCAAAUAGAUUGCAUUAGUUUUAUUUCUGCCAUGUGAAAUUACCAUAAACACAUAAAGUUUAAGACAAUGCAAAGAGAUUUCCUUAAAAUUCCUGUGGUCGGAAAUGCAGCCCAGGUCCCACUGAACUGAAAUUCAGCUGCUCAGUCACUGAUGUUUCCUGGGAACUUCUUGGGAGAAUCCAUUUCCUGACCUUUCUGGUUGCUGUUGGUAUUUUGUUCUUUGACUUUAAGGUCCCUGUUUUCUUGCAGGCUAUAAGCUUAGGAACAUUCUAAACUCCUAGAGGCCACCCCAGAGCUCAGUUGCAUGGUGCCUUUCCUCCACCUUUUAAGAUGGCUGUGAUGUGGCAGGUCUGGUCCUUUUCACAGCACUUCUCUCUGCUGGAGGAGCCAUUGGAAACUCUUCAAGACUUGGCGACUGCCUGGACAUCUCUCAACUUAAACCUAUCUGCAAAAGCCCUUUGCCACCUAAUAUUAUAAUACUUAUGUAUGUAUAUGUGACACACACACACACACACACACACACACACACACACACACACACACACACACACACACACACCAUGUGUUUACACACAAUCAUUGGGGGAUUUACAGGAAUUAAGGUAUGAACAUCUUAUGGGCAUUUUUCUGCCUAUCAACAAUCCUCUUAUUCAGGGUUGGGUCUCAGUUGACCAUUGACCCAAAAGAGUAAAUCUUUGUAAGAAUCACCAUAAUAGUUAUAAAACUCAAAACUGUAUUCUUCCUCAAGUGAGAAUUGAGUGAAGCAUUUACACUGGAUCUUUAUGGGGAUGUCCUUCUGUAUGCUGUGAAUAUAUGUUGCUCGUAUUGGUUGAUGAAUAAAGCUGUUUCAGCCAAUGGACAGGCAGGAUGUAGCAAGGCAGGAAGUAUAAAAGAGGCCUCCAGACUAGGAGAAUUCUAGGAAAAGAAAUUGGGAGAAUGAGUUGAGAGAGAGACGCCAUGUAGCUGCCAAGGAAGCAAGAGAUCCAGGCAUCACUGGUAAGUCAAGACCAUUUGGAGAUACACAGAUUAAUAGAAAUUGGUUAAUAAUUAAGAGAGAACUAGCCAAUAAGAAGCCUAAGCUAUUGGUCAAACAGUUUAUGAUUAAUAUAAGCCUCUGUGUGUUUAUUUGGGACUGAAUGGCUUCAGGACCAGGCGAGACAGAACUUCCAUCUACAGGGUCUUUAGGAUUAAGGCCUUCCAUAGAAAACAGGCUUACUUUGUACUGCAUAGAAUAUGCAGGGUCAACUUAAGAAAAAGAGGACAAAUUUUGUUUCAACAUAGGGAAUAUAAUCUUUGGUUUCCAAAAAACAGCUCCAAUAGAUCUUGGUAUGCAUACCCUUCCCUAUGCUCACCUCCACAGCCCAAACGUAGACUCACCAAGAUUUGCCUCCAGCCAGUGAAAUUGCCAAUGAUUCAGUACAAGACUUUAGAGUCCAGUCACUAAGAAGUCUCACCACUUCCAUUUUGUAAACCCUGAGCUAUUGUGUUGGAAGUACAGCCAUGCUUCUAUCAAAGAUCCCAACAAUGCCAGCAUUACCAUCCGGCUUUCUACAAUUCAGAUUUUUAUUCAGAAUCAAAAUCUGGAUAAAUGAUUGUUUUAGAUACCUCAGCAUUGGAAUGAUGUGUGAUGAGACAAAAGUAAUUGAUAUUCCUGCCUCACUGGUGUGCUAAGUGUGUGUGUGUGUGUGUGUGUGUGUGUGUGUGUGUGUGUGUGUGUGUGUGUACGUGCACACACAGGUCCAAGUUAACUGUUACACCUACCUCACCGAUUACAUGUGCUUGUAUCAUAUCCAAGAUAAAUGCUACAUCUACCCUGCUGAUUGUGUAUGUGUGUGUUUGUACAUGUUUCCAACUACAUUUUGAGUUACUUGUUAUACGAACCAUAUUUUUGUAUAAGAGAUUUUCUUUUUCUUCCCCUUUGAAUAGGAAAAAAAGGGCAUUGACUUCCACAAUUCUUUCUUUUCAGCCUUAUGCUUGAUUUAAUGUGCUGUUUCAGAGGCAAGCCAUGUGCACUUUCUUUCCUUGAUUUCAUUAUUUCCCUGAUAACUCAAAUGUGUAGAGCAGCCUUAGUCAUUUUGCUGUCAUAAUUCAACUACCUUUAAAAAUGUAAAGCAAAAUUAAACUGAUAAGUAAUUAAAAACAGAUGAUGUAAACUAAGAGUAUGCUUGGAACAAGUGAAAAUAUACAAGACAGUGAAAGAGAAGGUGGAAAUCCCCCAAACACCCCAGGGCUUUGAUACGUACAGCAGAACUUCAGCUCACAGUGUGAAAGUUAACAUAGACAAUGAAGUAGAUUUUUGUGAUGGGAAACCUUGAGUGUCACCUUGGUAGAAUUUAGACUCACCAUGGAAACAAACAAAAUUUUAUUGGAAACAUGUUUAUUGAAAAACUUUUUUCACAUUAAAAAUAGAAAAUUAAAGAUAAGCAUUGAGCAUCAGACUAAGCACAUACAGAUAGAUUUAGAUUUGCUUUUGAGGUUUAUUUUAUGACAAGUCAAAUAAGCCAAAUAUGGAUCUUUAUAAAGAGUAUUUUAUAUAUACCAUAUCUUUUAAAACUGAUAAUCCUAUGAGGUACGUACUAUCAUUUCCCUAAGUUUUAGAUGAGAAAAUGAACGAAGAAAUUAUUAUUAAUUGACAAAUAAAAUUAUACAACUAUUUAUAAUGUAUGAUAAUAUUCAGCUACAUGUAUAAAUCAUAGAGUAGUAAAUAAACUAAGUCUAUUUAUUACCUCACAUAGUUAGCAAUUCUGUUGUUAAGAUUACUUGUUUAAUUAAACCAAGCACCUGCUUCAGAGUCCUUCUGGCUAGAAAAGCUAAAAUACUGAGAAAGACAUAAUGCCAUUCUGCACUGUGGAAGCUAUUUCCAAUGAGAGAUGUCUAUGAUGGAAAGAGUAUAGUUAUCAAAUAAGAACCUUCAAUAUUCCCCAAAAGAACACAUUGAAGGACUGGGAGGGGGAGCAAAUUGUAUCCUGUAGUGUCUGGUAAGUGUAUGCUUUAAUUUCCAAGUAUUCCAUUCAGGGUUUUUCUUUCCAAUGUGAGUUCACUUACAGUGAACAAGUACAUGAACAAAUCUGAGGUGUGGAAAGUGGAGGGAAACUACCCACACUGCCAUCUAAUCUUUGGCAAUGUCCUGGGAGACCUCAGAUGGGUGCUCUGUCACCAAGUCUCUGAAAUUGUUCCAGGUGCUGUCAAACCCUCCAUUUGGUUUACUCCUCACAAACAUCCUGCAAGAUGGGUGGCGAUGUUUUCAUAAAUAAAUGAAAUGAGCUCUGAGAGGUGGGUCCUUCUGCUUGAAAGCCACUCGGAGGCACAAACAGUCAUGGAAAAAAAGAAAAAGAAAAAGAAAAAGAAAAAGAAAAAGAAAAAGAAAAAGAAAAAGAAAAAGAAAAAGAAGGCAUCGUGUAACCCUCUGGACUUGAGAAUAUAAGGACCCUCAACCAUAGACAGUUGACUUUGUGAGCCUUCAGUCGAUGUUUGAUCUCUAUGCAAUUAGACAUUUGAGAAAUACUAUUUUGGACCAUGCUUCUCCAUGCUUCCCUGUAUUUUUUGGAGGGGACAGGAUAUGUUUAAGAGCUGGAUUCCAGACAAGCUGUCUUUCCAUUCCUCCCCUGCUAUUAGCUUUCUAUUCAUCCUGACUCAGUUCAUGGAUCUUUUUGGCCACUGAUUAUCAUACUGUUUUCUUUGUGGACAGCCCCAGAUACACGCUACAGUGUGGAAUGAGGUGUGUGGCCUGACACGGAGUCUCUCUCUUAUCCUUUCUAAGCCUUCGUGUCAGAAGUGAGAGAGGCAGACAUAACCUGGAAAGUUGGGUACUGGAAUUUUAUCAUUCUUUGCUUCCCAGACAGAAUUCCAAUGAGGGACUGUUUUGACUUUCUAAACCAAAGUGGUGCUUGAGUGAGGGCUCUGUUUCCAUUGCCGCCAUUUCCUGCUAAUGAGAGUAUCACGAUGAUACCAAACCCUUUGUUCACUUCAGUCAUUGAGAUUCCUCUGCCAAGUGCAACACAGGUGAGUGCACACAGUGCCAAUAAUGUGAUGGGCAGUAAGAUGGCUCAUCAGGUUAAAGCAAUUGCCUGACAAUGGAUUUGAUCCCUGGAGCCCAGAGUAGAUGAGAACCAACUCCCCAAAUUCACUCUCUGACUUUCACACUCUUGAUGGAGUUUGUGGGUACGUACCUUCAUGUGUGUAUGUGUGCACGCGCGCGCGCGCGCGCGCACACACACACACACACACACACACACACACACACA